CCGAGUUUACAACUCCCAAACCCCUGUGAACAUACCUAUACGUUGCCUCGGCGGAUCAGCCCGCGCCCCGUAAAACGGGACGGCCCGCCGCAGGACCCAUAAACCCUGAAUUUUAUUGUAACUUCUGAGUUUAAAAAACAAAUAAAUCA
rnacentral:misc_RNA from 1 species